AACGAACGCUGGCGGCAUGCCUAACGCAUGCAAGUCGAACGAGACCUUCGGGUCUAGUGGCGCACGGGUGCGUACCGCGUGGGAACCUGCCCUUAGGUUCGGAAUAACUCCCCGAAAGGGGUGCUAAUACCGGAUAAUGUCUUCGGACCAAAGAUUUAUCGCCUUUGGAUGGGCCCGCGUUGGAUUCGCUAGUUGGUAGGGUAAAAGCCUACCAAGGCGAGGAUCCUUAGCUGGUCGGAGAGGAUGAUCAGCCACACUGGGACUGAGACACGGCCCAGACUCCUACGGGAGGCAGCAGUAGGGAAUAUUGGACAAGGGGCGAAAGCGUGAUCAAGCAAUGCCGCGUGAGUGAUGAAGGCCUUAGGGUUGUAAAGCUCUUUUAGCCGGGAUGAUAAUGACGGUACCGGGAGAAUAAGCACCGGCUAACUCCGUG
rnacentral:rRNA from 1 species